ensembl:misc_RNA Metazoa_SRP Metazoan signal recognition particle RNA
GCCGGGCGUGGUGUCACAUGUCUGUAGUCCCAGCUUCUCACGAGGCUGAGGUGGGAGGAUCAUUUUGGGUCCAGGAGUUCUGGGCUGUAAUGCGCUGUGCCUAUGGGUGUCCACACUAAGUUUGGCAUCAAUAUGGUGACCUCCUGGGAGCAGGGGACCACCAGGUUGCCUAAGAAGGGGUGAACCGGCCUAGGUCAGAAACAGGGCAGGUCAAAAUCCCAGUGCUGAUGAGUAGCAGGAUCUCGCCUGUGAACAGCUACUGCACUCCAGCCUGGGCAACAUAGUGAGACCCAUCUCUA